rnacentral:rRNA from 1 species
UACAGGGGGGGCAAGCGUUGUUCGGAAUUACUGGGCGUAAAGGGCCCGUAGGCGGCCAACUAAGUCCGACGUGAAAUCCCCAGGCUUAACCUGGGAACUGCGUCGGAUACUGGAUGGCUUGAAUUCGGGAGAGGGAUGCAGAAUUCCAGGUGUAGCGGUGAAAUGCGUAGAUAUUGGGAAGAACACCGGUGGCGAAAGCGCCUUGCUGGGUCUGCACUGACACUGAGGGACGAAAGCUAGGGGAGCGAAAGGG